rnacentral:rRNA from 1 species
CAGUCGCCGCGGGAAUACGAAGGGUGCAAGCGUUAAUCGGAAUUACUGGGCGUAAAGCGUGCGUAGGCGGCUUCUUAAGUCGGAUGUGAAAUCCCUGAGCUUAACUUAGGAAUUGCAUUCGAUACUGGGAAGCUAGAGUAUGGGAGAGGAUGGUAGAAUUCCAGGUGUAGCGGUGAAAUGCGUAGAGAUCUGGAGGAAUACCGAUGGCGAAGGCAGCCAUCUGGCCUAAUACUGACGCUGAGGUACGAAAGCAUGGGGAGCAAACAGGAUUAGAUACCCCGGUAGUCCCUGUCUCUUAUAA